AAGCUCUUCUUGGAGUCUCAGGAGCUGCAGAGAGCAAGCUGGGCUUCCUGGAGGAGGAGGCGUGAGAGUUGGGCCUUGAAGCACUCAGCAGCUGUUUCCUGAGCUGAUGUACAUCUCAUUAGUCUAUCAAGCUCCAACAGCCAAGGCCAAGGCCCCCAGAAUGAAAAACUGACGCAGCCACCCCUUCCUGUGCCAGAGACAGGAGAAGGGAGGGAGACUGACGGCCUUUGUUCUCUGAGCAAGACCGUAAAGCACUUCGCCUACAGGCCACAAGAGGGCGAUGGUGGUCCACACAUAAGAUCUUCCCAAAGAGCCAGCCAAAAACGCCUGCCUGGAGAAUCUGGAGGUUGUGAAAGGUGACUUUGUUAAGGAAGGGCGAUGGCCCUUCUCCCUGCCCCAGAGCUCUGAAAGCCUUUAAAGUGGCUUUAGCAGCGUGGUUUAAGAAUGGCUCCUUCGGUACAAGGACGGCCAUCACUGCUUCUCCUACUGUGUUUGAUGCCAGCGUUCUUCCCGUCUGCAGGGAAGGACGGAGAGUGAGGAGGGCACACAGGACGUAGCUGGCUCCUGGCCAUGGACGGUGACCGCUCUGGGGCCAGCAGGGUAGAGCUGCCUUCCUACAUCUGAGAACUCAAGGGCGAGAGGGAGGCAGGGCAGGGGAGAGGGUUGGUCUCAGUUCACAGGGCGACCCUCUGGCCCUGGUUCUGACGGCGACUCGCUGUGUAAGCUAAGGAGUGUCUCGCUCUGUACAGCGGGCAGGUGGUGGGUCUCUGCACGUCCAGCAUCUCCAGCUUUCCGUCCUCUGAGCUGUUUUGACAUGGGAGGCGCUGGCAGGGAGAGAGGGGUCACUGAUGUGGGAAGCUGGUGCAGAGCUGGGGAGUAGCUUGUGAUGCUGGAGAACCUGGAGAUGCCCCUCCCAUUCCUUGGGCCUCGACUGUCUCAUCUGUGGAAUGGGCGGGUCAGACUGGAUAAUCUCUAACCAUUGCUUCCCUUCACUUCUGUCCCAAUAAACACACACGGAGCUUU